GGGCCGGUAGUUCAGCCUGGUAUACUGACAACGUCAGGCCGAAGAACGUCCGGUUUGCAAGCAGACAUCGAAGCCAAGCCUCCGGAAGGCCGCGGGUUCAAAUCCCGCCCGGUCCA
rfam:Crenarchaeota archaeon 13_1_40CM_3_52_4 13_1_40cm_3_scaffold_4758, whole genome shotgun sequence.